CCUACGGGGGGCAGCAGUGGGGAAUAUUGCACAAUGGGGGAAACCCUGAUGCAGCGACGCCGCGUGAGUGAAGAAGUAUUUCGGUACGUAAAGCUCUAUCAGCAGGGAAGAAAAUGACGGUACCUGACUAAGAAGCCCCGGCUAACUACGUGCCAGCAGCCGCGGUAAUACGUAGGGGGCAAGCGCUAUCCGGAUUUACUGGGUGUAAAGGGAGUGUAGACGGCAGCGCAAGUCUGGAGUGAAAUCCCAUGGCUUAACCAUGGAACUGCUUUGGAAACUGUGCAGCUAGAGUGCAGGAGAGGUAAGCGGAAUUCCUAGUGUAGCGGUGAAAUGCGUAGAUAUUAGGAGGAACACCAGUGGCGAAGGCGGCUUACUGGACUGUAACUGACGUUGAGGCUCGAAAGCGUGGGGAGCAAACAGGAUUAGAUACCCUUGUAGUC
rnacentral:rRNA from 1 species